GUAGGUGGCAAGCGUUGUCCGGGAAUUAUUGGGGCGCAAAGCGCGCGCAGGCGGUUCUUUAAGUCUGAUGUGAAAGCCCACGGGCUCAACCGUGGAGGGUCAUUGGAAACUGGAGAACUUGAGUACAGAAGAGGAAAGCGGAAUUCCACGUGUAGCGGUGAAAUGCGUAGAGAUGUGGAGGAACACCAGUGGCGAAGGCGGCUUUCUGGUCUGUAACUGACGCUGAGGCGCGAAAGCGUGGGGAGCAAACAGGAUUAGAUACCCUGGUAGUCCACGCCGUAAACGAUGAGUGCUAAGUGUUAGGGGGUUUCCGCCCCUUAGUGCCGCAGCUAACGCAUUAAGCACUCCGCCUGGGGAGUACGGCCGCAAAGGCUG
rnacentral:rRNA from 1 species